AAACCCUCAAGCCUUUUGGGUGUUGUCCCGCCUUCGCGCGGUACUCCGCCCGGUUUGGUGUUGGGCGUCUGUCCCGCCGUGCGCGCGGACUCGCCCCAAAUCCAUUGGCAGCGGCCCUUCAGCUUCUUGCGCAGCACAAUGCGUCUCGGAGCGUAGCAAGGGCACGCGUCCACUAAGCAACCCACA
rnacentral:misc_RNA from 1 species